rnacentral:rRNA from 1 species
UACGUAGGGUGCAAGCGUUAAUCGGAAUUAUUGGGCGUAAAGGGCGCGUAGGCGGCUGUACAAGUCAAAGGUGAAAUCCCUCGGCUCAACUGAGGAACUGCCUUUGAAACUGUACGGCUUGAGGCCGGGAGGGGGUAGCGGAAUUCCCAGUGUAGCGGUGAAAUGCGUAGAUACUGGGAGGAACACCAGUGGCGAAGGCGGCUACCUGGACCGGUUCUGACGCUGAGGCGCGAAAGCGUGGGUAGCAAACAGG